ensembl:lncRNA
CCUUCACAAUCACCAGAUCUCAACCCAGCUGAAAACUUAUGGAACAGUUUGGACUGAUGGGUUUGAACAAUUUAGGGAGCAUUUUUUGGAACGAUGAUGUUCAUCUUUCAAGGACACUUCCAGAGACAUGUAGAUUGUAUGCCAAGCUGCACUGAAGCUGUUCUGGCAGAUCAUCCUGGCCCAACACCUUACUAACUCACUUUGUUGUUUUCUUUUUUCCCUUAAUUCGUCACUUGUCUAUAUAAUGAAAAAUAAGUUUGCUUGAUGGGGUUUGGAAAAAAAAAUUAAAUAAAAAAAUAGAAUGAGACCUCAUUAUAGAGAUGCAUGAUUUCCUCUAUGAAGAUGUCAGAGGAAGAAAGGGAAAGAGUUAGUACUGACAGUAUGACUUAGAGCCUAGAAGAACAAAACAAAGGGAUGUGACAAAUGAUUCAAAUCUGAUUUCACAUAGCACACCAGAGGUUUGGUUAGCCCUUACAUUUCAUACAUUACAAAACAUUUCAUUAGCAUAUCAUUGCCCACUAGGGAACUGGUAUUUAUCAGGUUCAACAGUAAACUGAGGACUUGUAUAACAAUGAGUAAAAAUGGAUGAAGACCAGGGCUGCAACAACUCCAUCCAUCCAUCCAUCCAUCUUCUAUACCACUUAAUCCUUUUCAGGGUCACAAGGAACCUGGAGCCUAUCCCAGGGAGCAUCGGGCACAAAGCGGGGUACACCCUGGACAGGGUGCCAAUUCAUCGCAGGCACAUACACACACCCAUUCAUACACUACGGACACUUUGAACAUGCCAAUCAGCCUACCAUGUAUGUCUUUGGACUGGGGGAGGAAACCGGAGCACCCGGAGGAAACCCCCACAGCACGGGGAGAACAUGUAAACUCCGCACACACAGAGCAGCGUUGGGAAACGAACCCCCGACCCUGGCGGUGUGAGGCAAACAUGCUAACCACUAAGCCACCAUGCUCCCGAGCUGCAACAACUAAUUAAUAAAAUCGAUAAUAAUCGAUUAUGAAAAUCGUCGUCAAUGAAUCUCAUUAUCGAUUAGUUGGUCUGCACACUGCACGAGGUACAUUUACUCACUAGGUUACCUCUUUUCCGAACACACACUUCAGAGAGUAAAUACUACAGUUGUGUCCCAAAUGACGUACACUUACAUUAUGCACUGUGUACUCUACCGUCUAGUGUACGAAUUUUAGGAAGUAUCACUAGCGGGGUUUUUUUUUACUAACCGGAAGCAUAAGCCGCUUCCUAGUCGACGGCGCACGAUAUCAUAUGCACGCUAGCUUCAGCAGACACCCAGACUCACCGACAGUCCCUUUCUUCAGUUUACUGUUUAUGUCCCAAAUGCUGUGUGUGUGUAAGGGGCAGGGGAAACUGGUGCGAGUUGCUUAAAAGGUUUAGUUUGUCAUUAUAUUCUGUAUUUGCGCGUUUGCAGUGUAAAUUCUGUCGUUUAUUAUAAUGGAAGUGAUGUGUUAGUAACGAGGCCGUGUUGCUGAUCACAUGCAGUGUAGACACCAUGAUACAGAGUGUAGUGAGUAAGAUCUGUAAUGUCUGAUAAAAACAUUAUGAUCAAAAGUAAACAAGUAAAGUUCUGUGCUUUUUCUGCAUUCAUAAAAAUAAAGCAUAAAUACUAGAAAAGAAUAUAUUUUUUAUAUAUAUAUUUUUUUUCCUUUUAGUUUAGAAGUAUUUAUGCAUUAUUUUUUAUGGAUGCACAAAAAGAACAGAAUUAAACCACAGUCCUAAAUUAAAAUAUAUAUUCUGGUGUGCGUGUGUGUGCAUUGGGUUCUUUUCUGUUUCGGACAAACAGUUGUUUUAGUCUGAAGUUUAUAUUUGUAACACUCUGUGGAUUUUAUUAUAAAUAAAUAAAUAAAUAAAGGGUACUGAAAGUUUGCCCCGGCCCAUCCGAUUAAUCGGGAAGAUUUUUUUUAAAAAAUCAGCCAACUAAUCGAUUAUGAAAACAACCAUUAGUUGCAGCCCUAAUAAAGACAAAUAGAAUUUUUUUAUUUUUUUUUUUUGAAAGACUGAAUUCAUUUUCUAAAAAUAAGAUGAGAGAGAGACAGAGGGGGGAGGGAGAGAAACAGGUUUUAGCUUGGUACACAAAGUUUCUAGAGAAACAGGACGCUUGAGACAAAAGCUUUUCAUCAGUUGUGCAAGCAAAGUGCUUCUGAAGCUGCAUUGUAAAUAUGACAACUACCCUGAUUACCACUAACGGAGAGGGGGAGGGUUAAAAAAAAAAAAAAAAAAAAAAAAAAAAAAUGAACCCAUUUGAGUUGUCUACUUCAACACCUGAUGGAAUACCAUAUUGGAAUACCAUAUUGUCUAAGGCUGUAUUUACACUUGCUUUUUAAUACAAGAUGGCUGCCGAUGGUCGUUUGGAUUGUCUCUUGUGUAUGUCCUCAGAUAUUAACUCUUCUUCAUGAUGCAAUGUCAAUGCAAAUAUGCAGUAUUGCACCACAUGACACUGUGUGCCACUGACUAAACAAACUAUUGUUGUGUCUCAAAUCACACUCUUAUGUACUGUUCUAGACUCUUAUUCACUACUGGGUUUCUUAUGUUUAGUGUUUGAGUUUUAAAAAUCAUGUAGCCUUCAAAUUGACUGAAAGGUCCGUUUUGCAUACCAGUCUUCUGGAUUUUAUAGAUUAAUAAACACUUUUGAAUGUAAGGCCAGAGUUUUUGAUUUGAGAUGUAGUUCAUGACAACAAUCCUGAUGAUGAUGGAAACAGAGGACAACAGUGCCUUUAACAUCACUGUGCAUGAAAUCAUUUAGUCAUUUUAGUUUGACUUGGAAUCCACACAGACAUGGAUGUCUUGGCUCUGACGUGCCAUCCAGUGGACAUUGCUUUUAAUCCUCCAGACGUACAAAAUAAGCAAGUGAGCAUGUACAAUCAUUGAAGAGUAACCACUGACCACGUUCCUACACAGCAACUGGCAAAAAUACAGCUGCUGUACACAUUGGACCAUACUGCUCUUCUUCUUUCUGAAAGCAGAUGUGACUGACAAACAUCCUACACCACAGCUGCUUGGGGUCAGCAUUGCUAUUUAUGAACCAAAACAAAAACACUGUCUGCAGCUUUCAUUAUUUCAGUUCAUCUCUCAACUGCACAAAAAUGGCUGAUCAGAACUGUGCAGUCAAUAAUCGACAGGCGAUUCUGACGAGUCCUCAUACUCCAAAUGUUUGGGACAAAAACACAACUUUGGGUUUGAUGCAAAAGCAGAUCAUCUUUAAGUCUGUUGUGGCCACUGGUUUCAAAGAACUCAAGUAUUUCCAAAACAGCACCAAAUGGCAACCGUUUACAAACACUAAAUUUGAGAUUGUGCAUUAGUGGCCUGAUUUAGUUCGAAACAUUUUUG